rnacentral:rRNA from 1 species
GACGGAAGGUGCAAGCGUUGCUCGGAAUCACUGGGCGUAAAGGGUGCGUAGGCGGCCGUGCAAGUCUGGCGUGAAAGCCCCGGGCUCAGCCCGGGAAGUGCGCUCGAAACUGCGCGGCUCGAGUGCCGGAGGGGAGAGUGGAAUUCCUGGUGUAGCGGUGAAAUGCGUAGAUAUCAGGAGGAAUACCGGUGGCGAAAGCGACUCUCUGGGCCGAUACUGACGCUGAGGAGCGAAAGCGUGGGGAGCGAACAGG